rnacentral:rRNA from 1 species
UUAGAGUUUGAUCCUGGCUCAGGAUGAACUUUGGCGGCGUGCCUAACACAUGCAAGUCGAACGGGUGUACGGGAUGGAAGGCUCCGGCCGGAAGCCCCGUGCAUGAGUGGCGGACGGGUGAGUAACGCGUGGGCAACCUGCCCUGUACAGGGGGACAACACUUAGAAAUAGGUGCUAAUACCGCAUAACGGGGGGAGCCGCAUGGCACCCCCCCGAAAACUCCGGUGGUACAGGAUGGGCCCGCGUCUGAUUAGCUAGUUGGCAGGGUAACGGCCCACCAAGGCGACGAUCAGUAGCCGGACUGAGAGGUUGGCCGGCCACAUUGGGACUGAGACACGGCCCAGACUCCUACGGGAGGCAGCAGUGGGGAAUAUUGGGCAAUGGGCGCAAGCCUGACCCAGCAACGCCGCGUGAAGGAAGAAGGCUUUCGGGUUGUAAACUUCUUUUGUCAGGGACGAAGCAAGUGACGGUACCUGACGAAUAAGCCACGGCUAACUACGUGCCAGCAGCCGCGGUAAUACGUAGGUGGCAAGCGUUAUCCGGAUUUACUGGGUGUAAAGGGCGUGUAGGCGGGACUGCAAGUCAGAUGUGAAAACCACGGGCUCAACCUGUGGCCUGCAUUUGAAACUGUAGUUCUUGAGUACUGGAGAGGCAGACGGAAUUCCUAGUGUAGCGGUGAAAUGCGUAGAUAUUAGGAGGAACACCAGUGGCGAAGGCGGUCUGCUGGACAGCAACUGACGCUGAGGCGCGAAAGCGUGGGGAGCAAACAGGAUUAGAUACCCUGGUAGUCCACGCUGUAAACGAUGGAUACUAGGUGUGGGGGGACUGACCCCCUCCGUGCCGCAGUUAACACAAUAAGUAUCCCACCUGGGGAGUACGAUCGCAAGGUUGAAACUCAAAGGAAUUGACGGGGGCCCGCACAAGCGGUGGAGUAUGUGGUUUAAUUCGAAGCAACGCGAAGAACCUUACCAGGGCUUGACAUCCCGGUGACCGCUCUAGAGAUAGAGUUUUCCCUUCGGGGACACUGGAGACAGGUGGUGCAUGGUUGUCGUCAGCUCGUGUCGUGAGAUGUUGGGUUAAGUCCCGCAACGAGCGCAACCCUUAUUGUUAGUUGCUACGCAAGAGCACUCUAGCGAGACUGCCGUUGACAAAACGGAGGAAGGUGGGGACGACGUCAAAUCAUCAUGCCCCUUAUGUCCUGGGCCACACACGUGCUACAAUGGCGCCGACAGAGGGAAGCGACGCAGCGAUGCCAAGCAAAGCCCAAAAACAGCGCCUCAGUUCGGAUUGCAGCCUGCAACUCGGCUGCAUGAAGCCGGAAUCGCUAGUAAUCGCGAAUCAGAAUGUCGCGGUGAAUACGUUCCCGGGUCUUGCACUCAAGGCCCGUCA